GGGAGCCUCUCUCCACUCCAUGCCUCCGGGAUCUAGGACACUGCCUUUCGAGGCAAACAUAUCGACGUCGUAGAACUCCAAGCGGUGUUCAACACUCUUUGCCACUUAGGUUCCGCUCGAGUCCAGAGUGACGCCUCAAGGACAGUAGCGUACAUCAAUUGUCAGGGUGGCACUCGCCCUCAUCAACUCCUGCGCCCUUGCGUGGCAGCUCUUCACAUGGGCGAUCGAUCAGGGGAUCUGGCUGGCACAACAUGAUGCCGGGCGGUUGAUACUUCGACUGAGGAGCUUCUCUUGAGGUGGAAGCUUGUCCCUGGAAAAGUACGAUGCGAGGCUGAUCAUCCCACCAGGCAUAAUUGCAGCAGGCCCUCCGAAGAUGGUAUACUUCUUCACCAGCCCCCCUCCAGAGACGGUCGAGGGGUUUGAUUCAAAAGAGAUCUCCCUAUCACCGGUGAUACAAUGCGGUCCUGAAGUGCGGAACUGACUUUCCCUCAUCACGCUGCAAUAACACGAGAGAUCACCACAGAGAUUCGGAUGUGCCAUAACAGUGCCCAGGUUUUGUAUGGUGUCAACUGUGCCCUGUUUUUUUUUAAUGGAAGGGGGAAUCCCUUACACUUCCUAGGAAUGCCAUUACUGUCUGCAGUCACACUCACAUUCUUCAGCUUGAGGCGCACGUUCUUAGCAAAUCAUGACAUCCUAUUGGUCGAAGAGGCAUUUACCACGGAGGCGAGUGAGCUGAUUCUCUCAAAACCAUUCUGCCACUGUAUCCAGGACAAGCAACGGCUGAAGUUGGUGCUGAAUUCAGAAGACAAGCUCACAUUGUAGACGACAUCAUUGGCUACACUGGUUGCUUUGGGUUACAAGAGCAAAAGCUGAUGGACCUGUGUGAACAUCUCGAUGCAGAUAGAGAGGAUGGUAGGAACUGGAUUGCACUGGCUGAAUGGUUUACUUCAAGAGGUUAUCGGUUCAUUAGAAAAGCUGAACGCAUGGAAUGUCCAACCAGGGAGCUACUGAAAGCCUACUUAGGAGUGCGCAGACUGCAUGGCAUUGUGGAUAAAGAUGCAAUUGAGUACCUGAUCAGAGUGUUUGGAGAACUUGGAUUGGAAAAUGGUGUUGAGAUCAUUACCAGCUCAAUAAUACACACCCAAACCCAGGGGCAAACAGCCGUGAGAUACCUUAAGAUGAACACUACAUUUCAAGUUGUUUUCCAAGUACAGUGUAUCUCCCAAA